rnacentral:rRNA from 1 species
AUUGAACGCUGGCGGCAUGCUUUACACAUGCAAGUCGAACGGCAGCGCGGGCUUCGGCCUGGCGGCGAGUGGCGAACGGGUGAGUAAUACAUCGGAACGUGCCCAGUAGUGGGGGAUAGCUCGGCGAAAGCCGGAUUAAUACCGCAUACGACCUGAGGGUGAAAGCGGGGGAUCUUCGGACCUCGCGCUAUUGGAGCGGCCGAUGGCAGAUUAGCUAGUUGGUGGGGUAAAGGCCUACCAAGGCGACGAUCUGUAGCUGGUCUGAGAGGACGACCAGCCAAACUGGGACUGAGACACGGCCCAGACUCCUACGGGAGGCAGCAGUGGGGAAUUUUGGACAAUGGGCGAAAGCCUGAUCCAGCAAUGCCGCGUGUGUGAUGAAGGCCUUCGGGUUGUAAAGCGCUUUUGGCGGGAACGAAAAGGACUGUGCCAAUACCACGGUUCGAUGACGGUACCCGCAGAAUAAGCACCGGCUAACUACGUG